rnacentral:rRNA from 1 species
ACGUCCUGGCGGCACGCUACACCUGCGAGUUCCAGCGGGGUAGCAUACUAGCGGCAGACGGGUGCGUAACAUGUGGGAAUCUGCCUUUUGGUUCGGAACAACACGGGGAAACCUGUGCUAAUACCGGAUAAGUCCUUACGGAGAAAGUUUUAAUGCCAAAAGAUGAGCCCGCAUUUGAUUAGCUAGUUGGUGAGGUAAAAGCUCACCAAGGCGAUAAUCAAUAGCUGAUUUGAGAGGAUGAUCAGCCACACUGGGACUGAGAUACGGCCCAGACUCCUAAGGGAGGCAGCAGUGGGGAAUCUUGCACAAUGGGCGAAAGCCUGAUGCAGCGAUGCCGCGUGAGUGAAGAAGGCCUUUGGGUUGUAAAGCUCUUUUGUCGGGAAAGAUAAUGACUGUACCCGAAGAAUAAGGUCCGGCUAACUUCGUGCCAGCAGCCGCGGUAAUACGAA